UACGUAGGGUGCUAGCGUUGUCCGGAUUUAUUGGGCGUAAAGAGCGUGUAGGCGGCCAGGUAGGUCUGCUGUGAAAACUCGAGGCUCAACCUCGAGACGUCGGCGGAAACCAUCUGGCUAGAGUCCGGAAGAGGAGAGUGGAAUUCCUGGUGUAGCGGUGAAAUGCGCAGAUAUCAGGAAGAACACCCGUGGCGAAGGCGGCUCUCUGGGCCGGUACUGACGCUGAGACGCGAAAGCGUGGGGAGCGAACAGG
rnacentral:rRNA from 1 species